rnacentral:rRNA from 1 species
GAUGAACGCUGGCGGCGUGCCUAAUACAUGCCAGUCGAGCGAACAGAUGAGGAGCUUGCUCCUCUGACGUUAGCGGCGGACGGGUGAGUAACACGUGGAUAACCUACCUAUAAGACUGGGAUAACUUCGGGAAACCGGAGCUAAUACCGGAUAAUAUAUUGAACCGCAUGGUUCAAUAGUGAAAGACGGUUUUGCUGUCACUUAUAGAUGGAUCCGCGCCGCAUUAGCUAGUUGGUAAGGUAACGGCUUACCAAGGCAACGAUGCGUAGCCGACCUGAGAGGGUGAUCGGCCACACUGGAACUGAGACACGGUCCAGACUCCUACGGGAGGCAGCAGUAGGGAAUCUUCCGCAAUGGGCGAAAGCCUGACGGAGCAACGCCGCGUGAGUGAUGAAGGUCUUCGGAUCGUAAAACCCUGUUAUUAGGGAAGAACAAAUGUGUAAGUAACUAUGCACGUCUUGACGGUACCUAAUCAGAAAGCCACGGCUAACUACGUG